AUACGUAGGGUGCAAGCGUUAUCCGGAAUUAUUGGGCGUAAAGGGUGCGUAGGCGGUCUAUUAAGUUUAAGGUAUAAGUGCAAGGCUCAACCUUGUGAGGCUUUAGAAACUGGUAGGCUAGAGAUAGAUAGAGCCAAGUGGUAUUCCAUGUGUAGCGGUAAAAUGCGUAAAUAUAUGGAGGAACACCAGUGGCGAAGGCGGCUUGCUGGGUCUAUACUGACGCUGAGGCACGAAAGCGUGGGGAGCAAACAGGAGUAGAUACCCUGGUAGUCCACGCCGUAAACGAUGAGUACUAAGUGUUGGGGGAACCCAGUGCUGUAGUUAACAUAUUAAGUACUCCGCCUGAGUAGUACGUACGCAAGUAUGAAACUCAAAGGAAUUGACGGGG
rnacentral:rRNA from 1 species